GACGAACGCUGGCGGCGUGCUUAACACAUGCAAGUCGAACGGUAAGGCCCCAGCUUGCUGGGGUACACGAGUGGCGAACGGGUGAGUAACACGUGGGUGACCUGCCCUGCACUUCGGGAUAAGCCUGGGAAACUGGGUCUAAUACCGGAUAGGAGCGCACCGUGGGGGGGGGGUGGCAAGUCUUUCGGUGUGGGAUGGGCCCGCGGCCUAUCAGCUUGUUGGUGGGGUAAUGGCCUACCAAGGCGGCGACGGGUAGCCGGCCUGAGAGGGUGGACGGCCACCAUGGGACUGAGAGACGGCCCAGAGUCCUACGGGGGGCAGCAGUGGAGAAUAUUGCACAAUGGGCGGAAGCGUGAUGAGGCGGCGCCGCGUGGGGGAUGAAGGCCUUCGGGUUGUAAACUGCUUUCAGCAUCGACGAAGGUUUUCUGACGGUAGAUGGAGAAGAAGCACCGGCUAACUACGUG
rnacentral:rRNA from 1 species